rnacentral:rRNA from 1 species
AGGGGGCAAGCGUUAUCCGGAUUUACUGGGUGUAAAGGGAGCGUAGACGGUUCUGCAAGUCUGGAGUGAAAGCCCGGGGCCCAACCCCGGGACUGCUUUUGAAACUGCCGUACUAGAGUGCAGGAGAGGUAAGUGGAAUUCCCAGUGUAGCGGUGAAAUGCGUAGAUAUUAGGAGGAACACCAGUGGCGAAGGCGGCUUACUGGACUGUAACUGACACUGAGGCUCGAAAGCGUGGGGAGC